UGUGUGUGUGCGCUGCAGGUUUCUUCCUGCCAGUCUUCACUCAGGGAAAACCCCCCCUCACUUCAAGGUGACGUACAACGUGUCUACGUCACUUCCACAAACAACAUGGCGGCGGUCUUGCGGAGGGCGUGCAGCGGAGUCUCUUCCAGGUUUUUAUUCCUUUAUUUACUUUGUUUAACUUGUUUACUGUAAACAUUUCAAUGUGUUUGUUGUUCGACCGCCCGCCGCAUCAGUCAGUGACGCGUCCGGAGCGUCACGGCGCUGUGACGCAUUUACCUGUGACGUCAGACUCAAAAUAACGUUUCACUGCGUGUGACGUCAGACAGGUGUGUUUAAUGUGACGUCACACAGGUGCUGGGUGUGCGAGCCGGAGUGAUGAAGCUUCGGCUCAGGUAACGCCUUUUUAUUUAUUAUUUGACGACAACAAUAAACUAUAUAAUAUAAUAUGGUUUUAGUUUUCUGUAAGAAUCAGCCAAGAAAGAUAAACAACAACAACAACAUCUGGUCCCUCUCAAGUAAACAUGUUGAGUGGUUUUGUUUGUCUUUAGAGAGUAAUCUGCGCCAGGUAACACUAACCAUGUGUGGUUUUUCAGGUGUUCAUCACGUGACAAGAGUUUCUUCUCUGAGCUACAGUCAGCAGAGAGCGCUGAACACAGGCGUCCCCAGCGGACCGCGCAGGAGCGUCUUUCAGAUGGUCUGCAAUGUGUUGGAAAUCUGUAAAUAAAGCUUUCAUUCUGAAUCUCUGACCAUCAGAAAUACUGUAAUAAUUGCCUCCUGUAGUCCAUGGUUACAUCAUCUCCCCAGCAGGAGUCCCACGGAGCCGCCGUUAGCACGUUAGCAUGCUACACAUAAAUGCAAUGUAAUGUAAUGUACACUCCAACAAGCCGUCCAACAUGCUAACGCUAGUAGCUAGCCCGCAUCUUGAACAGCUCAAAUAUAACUCUUUGUUUCUGACACGACUAGCUGAGCGGCUAGCUGAAGCGGCUAGUUGAGCGGCUAGCUGAAGCAGCUAGCUAGCUGAGUGGCUAGCUGAACGCUCAGCUGAACGGCUAGCUGAAGUGGCUAGCUGAAGCGGCUAGCUGAGCGGCUCAGCUGUGCGGCUAGCUGAAGCGGCUAGCUGAGCGGCUCAGCUGAGCGGCUAGCGCUCCCGGGGGCUGAGUUGUUAAUAACAACUCAAUAAAAUAUUAAAGGUCACAUGUCAUGGCCAUUUCCACUGAUCAUAAUUCCAUUGUUGAGGUAUACUA